UGGCAAACAAAGAAGCUGAGAGAGGAGAAAGGUUGACAAAAGAAGUUGCAGAGCCAUCAAUAACUGCACCUACUGAAUUUCUCGCUAUAACACCAUAACCAGCAACUGAAGAAGUAUAAUCAAAAGAGGUAUCAACAUUUAUUUUUACACUUCCUCAAGGAGGUGGAAUCCAACCUUGAUGAUUUUGGCUAAGAUGAGUUUGAGCAGAAUGAAGAGAGAAAGAGAGUGGAGCAUCCAACGCUUGAAACUCG
rnacentral:misc_RNA from 1 species